CCAUUGGUUUUGUCAUGGAUGAAGACAUAAAAGGAAUUUAUAAAAUCCAUAGGUGACACAAGGCUGGGAAGGAUAUUGAAGAUGCUGGAUAAUAACAGAAGAUUAUAGAGAUGUCUUGGGCCCCUUCUGAAUUAUUCUUCAAAGAUAGCCUGUGGCUCCACCCCCACAAAGCUGGUAGGAUGGCUGGAAGCAGAGUAUCCAGUAGAAGACUCCAAGGUCUUAGCGAUUGAAAAGCCACUGGAUGGAAGGAGCCUGGUCCCCUGAGAUACCACUUGGAGCAGAGAUGCCUUCCACUUUCACCAGGAAACCCAUAUUGGACUGUGAUGUGAACAAGAAAUACACUAUU